rnacentral:rRNA from 1 species
GACAGAGGAGGCAAGCGUUGUUCGGAAUUACUGGGCUUAAAGCGUGCGUAGGUGGUUCGUUAAGUCUGAUGUGAAAGCCCUGGGCUCAACCUGGGAAUGGCAUUGGAAACUGGCGACCUAGAGUGCGGUAGAGGGUAGUGGAAUUCCCGGUGUAGCAGUGAAAUGCGUAGAGAUCGGGAGGAACAUCUGUGGCGAAGGCGACUACCUGGACCAGCACUGACACUGAGGCACGAAAGCGUGGGGAGCAAACAGG